ACAUCGAUAACUUUAAAGACCGUUUUCUUUGCCACAGAAGUCUCACCAAAAACAAAACCCCCUUCUUCAGAAGGGUAUAAACACACCGACUCAGAGUCCACGUCAAACAGCAGGGACCUGCCAACAACGCAUUCUCUACCUAAGAUUUCUCUACCUAAGAUUUCACUACCUAAGAUUUCCCA